rnacentral:rRNA from 1 species
AGGAGUUUUGAUCCUGGCUCAGGACGAACGCUGGCGGCGUGCUUAACACAUGCAAGUCGGACGAUGAUCCUCAGCUUGCUGGGGUGAUUAGUGGCGAACGGGUGAGUAACACGUGAGUAACCUGCCCUCCACUCUGGGAUAACUCCGGGAAACCGGUGCUAAUACUGGAUAUGACUCGAACAGGCAUCUGUAUCGGGUGGAAAGAUUUAUUGGUGGGGGAUGGACUCGCGGCCUAUCAGCUUGUUGGUGAGGUAAUGGCUUACCAAGGCGACGACGGGUAGCCGGCCUGAGAGGGCGAUCGGCCACACUGGGACUGAGACACGGCCCAGACUCCUACGGGAGGCAGCAGUGGGGAAUAUUGCACAAUGGGCGAAAGCCUGAUGCAGCGACGCCGCGUGAGGGAUGAAGGCCUUCGGGUUGUAAACCUCUUUCAGCAGGGAAGAAGCGCCUGGGUUUUCUCAGGCGUGACGGUACCUGCAGAAGAAGCACCGGCUAACUACGUGCCAGCAGCCGCGGUAAUACGUAGGGUGCGAGCGUUGUCCGGAAUUAUUGGGCGUAAAGAGCUUGUAGGCGGUUUGUCGCGUCUGCUGUGAAAUUUCGGGGCUCAACCCCGAACUUGCAGUGGGUACGGGCAGACUAGAGUGUGGUAGGGGAGACUGGAAUUCCUGGUGUAGCGGUGAAAUGCGCAGAUAUCAGGAGGAACACCGAUGGC